CAGGCCUAACACAUGCAAGUCGAACGCGAAAGCUCCUUCGGGGGUGAGUAGAGUGGCGAACGGGUGAGUAAUACGUAGGAAUCUGCCCAGAAGUGGGGGAUAACCCGGGGAAACUCGGGCUAAUACCGCAUACACCCUACGGGGUAAAGCGGGGGAUCUUCGGACCUCGCGCUUUUGGAUGAGCCUACGUCGGAUUAGCUUGUUGGUAGGGUAAUGGCCUACCAAGGCGACGAUCCGUAGCUGGUCUGAGAGGAUGAUCAGCCACACUGGGACUGAGACACGGCCCAGACUCCUACGGGAGGCAGCAGUGGGGAAUAUUGGACAAUGGGGGCAACCCUGAUCCAGCCAUGCCGCGUGUGUGAAGAAGGCCUUCGGGUUGUAAAGCACUUUCAGAAGGGAAGAAAAGCCCGGGAUUAAUACUCCCGUGUCUUGACGGUACCU
rnacentral:rRNA from 1 species